UGCCAGCAGCCGCGGUAAUACGGAGGGGGUUAGCGUUGUCCGGAUUUACUGGGCUUAAAGAGUUCGUAGGUGGUUAAAAAAGUUGGUAGUGAAAUCCCAGAGCUUAACUCUGGAACUGCUAUCAAAACUUUUUAGCUAGAGUAUGAUAGAGGAAAGCAGAAUUUCUAGUGUAGAGGUGAAAUUCGUAGAUAUUAGAAAGAAUACCGAUUGCGAAGGCAGCUUUCUGGAUCAUUACUGACGCUGAGGAACGAAAGCAUGGGUAGCGAAGAGGAUUAGAUA
rnacentral:rRNA from 1 species